ACCAGCUCGAACUCGUAAGGGGGGUUUGUGAUAACAUAUCUGCAAGGAGACCAGAAAACAGGACACGUUAGGAUUUACUCAGUUCCCUGGUAAGGUGGCAAAGGGUCUUUUCUAUAACACUGCUGUUACUCUCUGCAUCCUGAUCAUGGCAGUUGAGAGCUUUGUGAGCCUACAUUUUAUCGGCUGCAUUAUUCCCCUAUUCGUACUUCACAAAUAGGGGAGUAGAGGUUAUAAAGCUAUUAGCUGACACUGAAUGUCAGUGAAAAAUGGAGUAAGCUCUUUUCUCUUUGCUUAGGACAUUUAAUAUUUAUGAUAUGGGAAAAAUAGAAAAAGCUAUGAUGUACAAAGUGGGGAACCAUGUUCUUUUAACAAAACUGUCCGUUAGAAUGUGUUUUAUAUAAUUUGUGAGGUUUUCUUGCUUACAGUGGCAAAUAAAAACAGGUACCCCUACCGUUUUUAAGAUUAUGGUACUUAGAAUAUGAACUGGAUAAUGAAAGCAAAAAGAAAGCAGAUUUGAAAUUUUAGAAUUUCAGUUAAAUUCUCAGAUUUUAACUAGAAAUGACACAUCUUACUCAGUGUAACCAGGUCUCUUACAUCAGUGAGACCUGGUUCUUUACUAAUGAAUAGCAAGAAAUAUAAAAGGAUCAUAGAUUAGAAAACUGGGAAAAAAUGUUUAAACAGUGUGGAGAAUCAAAAUAUUGAGUAUCUGUGCAAUUAACCAGUGAACAGCAGUCCUACUACUUCUAAUAAUGAGCAUGAUACAAAAUGUUAAAAUAUUUCAAUUCCUGAAUCCCUCUCCUCGGAUACAUCAUAAACUGCAAAGCAGUUCAUUUGCAUCUUUUGUGCAAUGAAAUUAAUGUACAGGACAUCCAUUGUAGAUACAUCCUUACUGAAACUGGACAUAGAGAUUUACGAUUUUUGUUGUAAAUGUUUUUCAGAGCUACCAGUAGUGGCAAGAAAAAAAAUACAAUUUACCUAAUGGAACAUUUUGUCAAAAGUGUUUUAAGUUUAGUUUUGAUUAAGCACAUUAUUUAGUACCACAGCAACUUUCACUUAACAUUUUCAAAGUGUAUCUUUUUUAAAUGUCUUAAAUAUGUAGUUUUUACUUGUGUCCUCUCGUCCAUUCUGAAUAAGUCAGCAAGAUGGAGUUUAUUAAUGCCCUUGAGGAUUUCGAAUACUUGAAUGAAGUCCCCUCAAGGUCUUCGGUCUCAAAAGAAUAAAGAGGUUCAGUUCCUUCAGCCUGUCAGUAUGGGCACAUUAGCAAUUCUCCACUCCCUGAGUUCUACCCCUGUCUUGAGCGAGUGCUGGAAGAGUGGUGUCCCUGGUUUGUGAAUAACAUCUUGUUUGAAUAUAAUUGGAGUAUGGCAAAACUACUAUUCAUUAGUCAAGCGUGAGGAGCGUGUCUGAAGGUAGUGAGAAUGGAAGAGAGAGAAAUACCCAAAGGAAUCAUUUCAUGGAAGUGGAGUAUUGAUGUUUUGUACAGCAUGUAAUGUUCCUAUAGACUGCUUGAAACAGCUGUUGUGAGAAACCAAAACUGGAAAACAUGCUGAGCGAGUUACCAAAAAGUCCAAAAAAUCAUGUGUCAUAGGUGCUGCUUUCUGUGCUGCAAACACUCCACUACAAGGCCUGGGCAACCCUGCUAUGAAAAUUCGAAAAGGUUCUUGAAAACCACUAAGACUGCAAACUUUGAACCACACUGUAGUUCUGAGGCAUGAAAUUCCUUCCUGCAGAUAUCAUAUCCUGUCUCCGUUCUACAGUACCUCACAAGUCUCAAAUCGCUAUUCUGAACACUGUGCACAUCGCAUGUGCUGAACACCUUCUCAGCUAAGUGAGCGAGAUGGGGAGAAAAGCAUCUGCAAACAUCAAUAAACUUGUCUUUGCCGUAGAACAUGCAUUCACUGCUUGCAAAAUGCGGUUUUGUCAAACGUUACAGGAAAAGGGAGAAGUGCCUGCAUUUUUUCCUUCACCAGUAAUCCCAGUGGAGCUGCCGUCCUCUUUCAUUCCAUCCACCUGGCGGAUUUAGUGGGAUGUCUUGGGGAGGAAUGUGAUCGAAGCCGUAGUUCAUCUUUAGAAGACGUGAUCAUUUUAAAUAAACCCAUCAGCUUAUGAAAUGCCAGGAAUCAGAUCAGGUGAGGUGGCACAAGGACUUGCCUGAUCUUUCCAACUCAAAGCCCUUUGUGAAAACAGCAAUAAAACUGUAACCUACAUGAGUGGCUCUGAAUAUCUUUGUCAACCUGCUACCAGUUUUUUUUUUUUUUUAAAGCCUGCUGUGUGUGUUUGAUUCCAGUCAGGAAGAACAUCUUGAACUUUCAGCGAUAAGUGUAUUUGAGUCUAUUGCCAUGCGUGAUGGCAAUAUGUUGGCAAAAGUCAAGUUUCUGAAGUGCCCUGACAUUGUGGAAUUUUGAUUUGGUUCUAAAGAUUGCUUUCCAAAUAAAUUCCCAUUAACAGUGCAAGAGAUCGCUUUCACCUCACAGAUGUUUUGUGAGAUGGCAGAUGCUCAAUCAACAGUGACAGCCUGCUGAUGUACAGUACAACCUGCCAUUCCAGAAUCACAGAAUAUUGUAACUUAGUAAAUGCAUAUUUUACAUGGUGACAACAGGUGACGUGAAACCUUUUGCUCCGUUGUUAUUAAAACUGAAUUUACAUUUACAUUCCUGGGACUUGUCUGGGAAUUCUUUAUUGUCUGUGUCUUGACCAUAAGUUUUACUAAAAAUACCCAUAACAAAAUCAAAAGAAAGUAAAAAAGGUCAUGAAUGAGAGGAGAUGGCCCUUUGGCAUUCGUUGCUAUUAGCAAUUGAAAGCAUAGGUAUUAGCUUUAAUAACAUGGCUGGGUAACUUGUGCCAUACCCUCCAAAACACUUUGUAUAAUGAACAAAGUUCUCUGUUUUUAAUGCUUUCCACAUUUCAAUUUUUUUUUCACCCUGGGCUCAUGUUUCACUGUUUGUUCUGAAGAAGAUUAGUAGGUUACCUUUUGUCAAAGUCUCUGCAUAUUUUACAAACUUGAACCAAGUCCCCUUAUAGUUCUUUUAGCUUGUCUGAGAAGGACAUUCCCUGUCUUUGAAUCUGUCUGGUUGUUUUUCUCUCGCCUUUCCAGGGCAGCCGUGAUUUUAUAAAUAAUAACGUGAUGGAAAGUCUGACAUUAUCAUAAUCGCCACUGUCAAGGAAUUCUCCUAUUAAAUAAGCACUAAAGCUUCUGACCUUCAGGGGAAAACAAGACCUCCUUUUGUUUCGUGUAAGGUUGUCCCAGCAAAGUGUUUUUCUAGUGUUGUCCAACUUGCUGCGUGAACCACAUGUAGCAUCUUUUUUCACAGCCUUAUCUUUGAACAAAACCUUCAUUCUCACGUGCAUUGCAAGGAGAUACACCAGAAUAACAAAAUAAAGAUAAAAUAUAGAUGCAGCAAUAAUGCUUGUGAUUGUCUGCCAACAUGUUUUCCUUAUAACUUCUGGUUAUAAAACUAGAGUCCAAAAUAGUUGCAGCCUAUUUGUUUUACAGUCAAAAUGAAAACACAAAUUUGUUUGAAGUCUGAUGUCUGGCUUGGACUUUCUGCUA